UACAGAGGGUGCGAGCGUUGUCCGGAAUUACUGGGCGUAAAGCGCGCGUAGGCGGACCUGCAAGUCGGGGGUGAAAGCCCGAGGCUCAACCUCGGAACUGCCUUCGAUACUGCGGGUCUCGAGUCCGGGAGAGGUGAGUGGAAUUCCUAGUGUAGAGGUGAAAUUCGUAGAUAUUAGGAAGAACACCAGUGGCGAAGGCGGCUCACUGGCCCGGUACUGACGCUGAGGCGCGAAAGCGUGGGGAGCAAACAGG
rnacentral:rRNA from 1 species